AGAGUUUGAUCCUGGCUCAGAUUGAACGCUGGCGGCAUGCCUAACACAUGCAAGUCGAACGGAAACGAUGGAAGCUUGCUUCCAGGCGUCGAGUGGCGGACGGGUGAGUAAUGCUUGGGAAUCUGCCCUGUAGUGGGGGACAACUUCCGGAAACGGGAGCUAAUACCGCAUACGUUCUCUUGUUUAGUUUCAAGGGGAGAAAGUGGGGGAUCACUUCGGUGACCUCACGCUACUGGAUGAGCCCAAGUCGGAUUAGCUUGUUGGUGGGGUAACGGCCUACCAAGGCGACGAUCCGUAGCUGGUCUGAGAGGACGAUCAGCCACACUGGGACUGAGACACGGCCCAGACUCCUACGGGAGGCAGCAGUGGGGAAUAUUGCACAAUGGGCGCAAGCCUGAUGCAGCAAUGCCGCGUGUGUGAAGAAGGCCUGCGGGUUGUAAAGCACUUUCAGUAGAGAGGAAAAGCCUCGGGUUAAUAGCCUUGGGUCUUGACGUAACCUACAGAAGAAGCACCGGCUAACUCCGUGCCAGCAGCCGCGGUAAUACGGAGGGUGCGAGCGUUAAUCGGAAUUACUGGGCGUAAAGCGCGCGUGGGCGGCUAGGUCAGUCGAAUGUGAAAGCCCCGGGCUUAACCUGGGAAUUGCAUCCGAUACUGCCUGACUAGAGUAUGGGAGAGGGAAGUGGAAUUUCCGGUGUAGCG
rnacentral:rRNA from 1 species